rnacentral:rRNA from 1 species
GAUGAACGCUGGCGGCGUGCCUAAUACAUGCAAGUCGAGCGAACAGACGAGGAGCUUGCUCCUCUGACGUUAGCGGCGGACGGGUGAGUAACACGUGGAUAACCUACCUAUAAGACUGGGAUAACUUCGGGAAACCGGAGCUAAUACCGGAUAAUAUAUUGAACCGCAUGGUUCAAUAGUGAAAGACGGUUUUGCUGUCACUUAUAGAUGGAUCCGCGCCGCAUUAGCUAGUUGGUAAGGUAACGGCUUACCAAGGCAACGAUGCGUAGCCGACCUCAGAGGGUGAUCGGCCACCCUGGAACGUGGACACGGUCCAGACUCCUACGGGAGGCCGCAGUAGGGAAUCGUCCGCAAUGGGCGAAAGCCUUACGGAGCAACGCCGCGUGAGUGAUGAAGGUCUUCGGAUCGUAAAACUCUGUUAUUAGUGAAGAACAAAUGUGUAAGUAACUAUGCACGUCUUGACGGUACCUAAUCAGAAAGCCCCGGCUAACUACGUG